rnacentral:rRNA from 1 species
CCUACGGGAGGCAGCAGUGGGGAAUAUUGGACAAUGGGCGAAAGCCUGAUCCAGCCAUGCCGCGUGUGUGAAGAAGGCCUUCGGGUUGUAAAGCACUUUCAGUGGGGAAGAAAGCCUUGGGGCUAAUACCCUCGAGGAAGGACAUCACCCACAGAAGAAGCACCGGCUAACUCCGUGCCAGCAGCCGCGGUAAUACGGAGGGUGCGAGCGUUAAUCGGAAUUACUGGGCGUAAAGCGCGCGUAGGCGGUCUGAUAAGCCGGUUGUGAAAGCCCCGGGCUCAACCUGGGAACGGCAUCCGGAACUGUCAGGCUAGAGUGCAGGAGAGGAAGGUAGAAUUCCCGGUGUAGCGGUGAAAUGCGUAGAGAUCGAGAGGAAUACCAGUGGCGAAGGCGGCCUUCUGGACUGACACUGACGCUGAGGUGCGAAAGCGUGGGUAGCAAACAGGAUUAGAUACCCUUGUAGUC